UUACCAGGUCUUGACAUCCAACGAAUCUGGCCGAAAGGUCGGAGUGCCUUCGGGAGCGUUGAGACAGGUGGUGCAUGGUUGUCGUCAGCUCGUGUCGUGAGAUGUUGGGUUAAGUCCCGCAACGAGCGCAACCCUUGCCAUUAGUUGCUAACAGGUUAAGCUGAGCACUCUAAUGGGACUGCCGGUGACAAGCCGGAGGAAGGUGGGGAUGACGUCAAAUCAUCAUGCCCUUUAUGACCUGGGCUACACACGUGCUACAAUGGAUGGUACAGAGAGCAGCAAGACCGCGAGGUGGAGCGAAUCUCAAAAAGCCAUUCUCAGUUCGGAUUGUAGUCUGCAACUCGACUACAUGAAGUCGGAAUCGCUAGUAAUCGCGAAUCAGCAUGUCGCGGUGAAUGCGUUCCCGGGCCUUGUACACACCGCCCGUCACACCACGAAAGUCGGCAACACCCGAAGCCAGUGAGCUAACUAGUAAUAGAGGCAGCUGUCGAAGGUGGGGUUGGUGAUUGGGGUGAAGUCGUAACAAGGUAGCC
rnacentral:rRNA from 1 species